CAGUCGAGCGAAAGAUAAGGAGCUUGCUCCUUUGAAGUUAGCGGCGGACGGGUGAGUAACACGUGGGUAACCUACCUAUAAGACUGGGAUAACUUCGGGAAACCGGAGCUAAUACCGGAUAACAUUUAGAACCGCAUGGUUCUAAAGUGAAAGAUGGUUUUGCUAUCACUUAUAGAUGGACCCGCGCCGUAUUAGCUAGUUGGUAAGGUAACGGCUUACCAAGGCGACGAUACGUAGCCGACCUGAGAGGGUGAUCGGCCACACUGGAACUGAGACACGGUCCAGACUCCUACGGGAGGCAGCAGUAGGGAAUCUUCCGCAAUGGGCGAAAGCCUGACGGAGCAACGCCGCGUGAGUGAUGAAGGGUUUCGGCUCGUAAAACUCUGUUAUUAGGGAAGAACAAAUGUGUAAGUAACUGUGCACAUCUUGACGGUACCUAAUCAGAAAGCCACGGCUAACUACGUGCCAGCAGCCGCGGUAAUACGUAGGUGGCAAGCGUUAUCCGGAAUUAUUGGGCGUAAAGCGCGCGUAGGCGGUUUCUUAAGUCUGAUGUGAAAGCCCACGGCUCAACCGUGGAGGGUCAUUGGAAACUGGGAAACUUGAGUGCAGAAGAGGAAAGUGGAAUUCCAUGUGUAGCGGUGAAAUGCGCAGAGAUAUGGAGGAACACCAGUGGCGAAGGCGACUUUCUGGUCUGUAACUGACGCUGAUGUGCGAAGGCGUGGGGAUCAAACAGGAUUAGAUACCCUGGUAGUCCACGCCGUAAACGAUGAGUGCUAAGUGUUAGGGGGUUUCCGCCCCUUAGUGCUGCAG
rnacentral:rRNA from 1 species